UCCGUCAGCCGUAAGUUCGUAACACCGUUGUGGGCGGUGGACGUUUAAAAGGAGUUUGCUAAACAGUCGUUUUUCCUCUAGAGUGGCGUACUCAAUUCUUCAUUAAUUUAUCGUAGCGUAAUUGGUUCCUGCUGUGAAGUGUUUACGAAAAUUUUCGUUAAUCGUGCGACUAGACUACAGUUGGCACUUGUGAAUCCAAUCUGUUGUGGUCACUUCGUCGAUCAAGGUAUUACAAACCUCGGACCUCGGCAAGGAUGUUUUUGGUAAGAGUUUGACUUUGAAUUCCUGUUCUAACGGUAAAGCUUCACGCAUGAUAAAAGCUGCUCACUUUGGCAACAGGGUCUUGUCGCAGGUUGAGAUGCGAGUGAAGUGGCUCAUUGGUUGGUGGUACCGGUGGGCAGUUACUGACUUGACGUCUCGAGAGCUUUGCCAUCUUUGUCUUAUUUUGGCAUUGCAUUGAAAUGUCGAUGAUGACGUUAAUGGAGAAGGUCUUCGAUGUCGUAUGGUAUUGUCGUGACCAUGUAAUGGUGUACGUGACACCUAGCUGGGCAGAGCUGAGCUUCUGGACAUUUCGAUCUUACAACAAGAGAAAGUGAGACUAUAUUAUAGUGAGGAGACUUUGGUGACAGUUGGUUACCGUUGGUACGUAGGUUCAUGCACGCCUUCCAGGUUUUUUGCAAGUGAUACUGUAGUAUGUUAUGUUGUAACUCGCCUGACCAAGACUGGUGUAUUGUCAUUUGCUUUGCAAAUGUUUAGAGCUCUCCGUGAAGAGAAAGGACCACUUUUCAUACUGUUUCCCAAACUGCAUUUUAAUUUUCUUGGAUCUACGCGAAGUUAAGCUUACUUUUAAAAGACUUCAUUUCUCUGUAAAGUACGUAUCUUCAUGAUUUGGAUGUUAUCAAGAAUCCAGGACUUGAUAGUCACUUUUAAUAUGUAUGUGUAUGUAAAGUAUUCAUGAGUUCACUAAGUAUUAUAUAGUACUUGCAUCAAUUACUGUUAAAUUACACAAUUUUUAAUCAGUUCAUUAAGUUAUCAAUUUUUAUCCAUUAGCCUUUGUUGUACUGGGUUGUCCAUGGAAUAUUGAGAAAGGUGGUUUUUGUAUGAAGAUCCGUGACACUGUGCACAAACAAUAACUUUGUUAUUCAUGAACACAAAUUAUGUUUGAUACCCAUGCGUAAGCAGUGAGUCAAUGCAGUUACUCUUGAAUACUAGCAAUCUGUACCGGAUUAAAACCCUUUGGACUUCUUAGGUUAAGGAUGCAGAAGGGGGGCCGGUCAGGCGAGCGAAGCUAGCCAAAUCCGCUUGGGUACUUUAAAUAUGAGCAAUUCAGUUACUUUGAAGUUAUGUGCAAAGCAGUAAAUAGGAAAAUGGAGCAAUACACUAUUAAGAUUAACCUAACUUACAUAAAGAAUUCACAUUAAUAAUUCACAUUAAUGACAAUCUGGUAAAAAGACUAGGGUAAAAAGACAAACUUGAAAUAACAUGAGACUUAAUUAAAAAUAAGCAACUUAACCAGGAUUUGCACCAACAAAUUUAUCACUAUUUUGCAAAUCUUAAUUGCCAGGUCGUGCUCAAAGCUUAUUAAACUCGACCAGUUAAGGCGGUUUUGUCCUAUGGCAAUCAGGUCUUUGAUCAUAUUUACAAGUAUACCAUUUUUACUAUAAUACCUGGAAGGUUUGAAGGGCCAGCAGGUAGUUAAUGCCUGUACUAAGAUACAUUUUGAAAUACAGUAUACUAAAGGAGUGGUGUCUUUUUGC